CUCAAAGGUUUGUUUCUGGACAAAGGCUAGGACAGGCAACGCUUUGUCCCAUUUCAAACAAAAUGUUUAACAGGGGAGGCUUGGGUCCAUCAAUAUUUAUUAUGCAAGGCAAAUCAACAUUUCUCUUAGUCUUAUGGUGUUUUUUAAUCAGCCAAAAUGUAAAAAAAUAUAUAUAAACGAUAUAUCCCUUUAAAAGUAAUUUCACAUCAUGCAAUAAGGAAUGGAACGUAAAGAAGCAGAUUACUCAAAAGGGGCAUGAGCAAAACUGUUCAAAACACUUAAUUAUCAUUCUAUUGUGGGCUUAUGUAUGUACCCCAAACUUUUAACGCUCACAAUAUCCAUAGAGAUUCAACAUUUGCAAUGACCUCCUUUUCAGCUCUGUCAGCAGUUGUGUACAAUCUAGUAAUCAAUUCAGAGACUGGCUAAGAGGCAAGAUGUAUAUAAUUUAAGGCUGUUAAUGCUGUGUGUAAUGUAUUUUGUUUUGUACUCUCCAGUUACAUUGACUGACUCUUGGAAUGGCCUACUGUGUUGUUUCUCAGAGGUUGCUGCUGUCACAAGUGGUGAAUGUGAACUGCUUAACAUUGCAAUUGAUACAAGGCAGAUGCCAAGGUGGACUAGAAUGCCUACUUGGAAUCUGCCAGUUGAAGGACCGACAUUUUGUGAAGUGAAAGUGUACCAGAUCAACAUUUGGAAAUAGGUGCAUCCCAAGACAAAUUCAAAGCAGUUUGAAUGCUAUUUCAAGAAGCGGAAGAAGAGGAAUGCCAUUGGUAAGUAUCACAAAACCUCAUGUAUUCCUCUUGAGAUUUAAGUUCCUCUUCACACACAAGAGAGCAGGAAGAGCCUCUAUCCUAGCUUUGGCAACCGUAUGAAGUAUCUUCCUUUGCCUGUUCUUUUCUCUACUGCCUGUGCAGCUGUGAUAAGACACUAGUUAUAUCAGUGGAGAGGCAGCGGCGACUACCCGGGGUGUGGUGUUAUGCUUUCUAUGGAGUCACUGAUGAACUGUUUACUCUAAAUGGUAAUGAUGUGCUAGGGGGAGCACCAAUCUUUACAGAAAGCUGUUAGGUGACUAGUGUCAACACAAAAGCCUCUGCCAUGCCUGUGUCAUGAUCCCACUUUAAUGAAACAAUGAGAUAGUAACCCCAUGAGAGCAAAUAGGUUUGUUUGUGAUACUAUUGGCAUCAAGUGUUUUGAGUGUUACAUUUCCUGUAGCUAGCACUAAGGUAGCAAGCAAACAUUGUGGAUCUAAACACGUUUCAGGUAACUGUUCCUAUCCUAUCUUCAACAGUCCACUGAUCUGAAAGAGGUGAACGUGGUGGGAGGCCGCUAUUUUACAUGUUGGAAUUGCAGCCAUACAUUUUAACCAUUCACUCUGUGUCAUUGCAAAUGCACAUAGCUGAGUGAAGUAUGUGGGCUAUGAUCAGCUCGAUCUAACAGUGAUAGGCAUUUCAUAUUCAGAAGAUAUUUCCUAGGAAAAAUAAAGCAGUAUCAAUUGAAAUCUC